rnacentral:lncRNA from 1 species
UUUAAAAAUACUUUUAAGUUUUCAAAAAUUUUGAAAUUUUUUCCCCAAGGUCCUUUGACCUUUUUUGACCUAUGAUAAAUUUCAUGGCCAUUCAUUUGGUGUUUUGAUGAGGUUUUAGGAAUUUGACAAACCAUAUUUAAUUUAAAUGCCUUAUUUUAGUAUUUUUAAUUUGAAUAAAUGCCAAAUAAUUUUGUUGACCAUUUGUGAUGACUUGUUUGAGUUUGACUCUUGU